AACAGACAUGUGACACGUAACACUCCCAUGUCUGUUCCUUAAGGUGGAAUGGAAAUGUCAACAUCAAGAUGCAAAGAGUCAGACGGCUAGAUCCGACCCAAGGUCCAUCUGGGCCAGUGGCUAGAAAUCCAACCCCUCCCCCAGUGACCACCCCGUUUUGUGGGGGCCAAUGAAGGAAGCAGGGUGCUGGGCUGGGGGGCAGUUGUCAGCUGGAGGGGCACCUUCCCUGGGGAGCCACAUUCUGGGGGAAGGAGGCCGGGAUUGGCCCCCCAAGGCCUGGGGUGUCCCUCCCCUGUAGUAGGACUUGGAAUCCAGGAGAAAACUCUUGGAAUAGCCUUGCCAGGGGCUCAGGGAUGGACUCACCUCUUCCCAUGUCUUUUUCUUUGCAGUUCUGCUGCGGUUCCGCAUCCGUGCCCCAGGGCUGCUGGAGGAUGGACAGCGGUACCUCCUGGGGGUGAUCCAAGAGUGCCAGGCAGCUGAGCUCAGGGGGCUCCGAACCCUGAAGUGCUCCAAGCAGGAGACGGCCCAAGCCAUUCUGGGCAUCUUUGGCCACCUGGAGCGCUUCAGGGAUCACCCCCUGAGCCUGGCUCUGGACUUGGAGGCCCUCAUCCAGCUGAGCAUCAUGAGAUGAUCAGUGCCAUCCUCCACGGGACCCGGGAGGCUGUUAUUGGGGGCCCACAAUAGGAGGACAGAGAGGAACUGAAGCGGCACUUCCGGCUCCUGCUGGGGAGUCUCCUGAUGGAAGCCCCCAAUCAUGGCACCCUCCUCCAGCUGCUCAGUGACCUCCGAGGAUACGCCCUUGGCGAAACUGGGGAGGCUCAAACACUUGCGGCUGGCAGCAUUUCUCUGCUUCUGGCCGUGGCGUGGAGAUUCCCCCAACUCAGAGUGACAGUAAUUCGGCCAGACCUGGCCUGCUUCUGGCAGUGACCCAAAGAAGAUGACAUCAUCCUUGAAGACUUGUAGUCAGGGCAGACCUCUUGCAGAAGGUGUUACAGAAAAAUCUAGGUGCGAGGCUGCUCAGUCGCCCAGCUGGUCGGGCAGAGCCGGCGGUUCCUUGCGGAAUAAA